AAACGCGAGGCCGAAAGGCGUAGUGGAUGGAAAGCAGGCGAAAGAUUCCUGCACCCGUAUAUGGAGCGAAGGAGUGACGGAGACGGAUAGUGUGACCCUCUUAAUGGAUUGAGGGCGAAGCGAAGCGGCUGGUUACCAGGCAAAUCCGGUAACCAUAAGGCUAGAGCGUGAUAGGUAAGCGAAAUCUUAGGAGAGUAGCGAAGCACAUGAUGACGGCUUCCAGGAAAAGCUUCUGGCAAUGCAUAUGCGGCCCGUACCAAAACCGACACAGGUGGGCAGGGAGAGAAUCCCGAGGUGAGCGAGAGAACUGUUGCCAAGGAACUCGGCAAAAUGACUCCGUAAGUUAGCGAGAAGGAGUGCUUAAGCAAUUAAGCCGCAGUGAAGAGGCCCAAGCGACUGUUUAACUAAAACACAGCUCUCUGCGAAGUCGCAAGACGAAGUAUAGGGGGUGACACCUGCCCGGUGCUGGAAGGUUAAGAGGAUCUGUUAAGAGCGAUCUGAAGCAGUGAUCCGAAGCCCCAGUGAACGGCGGCCGUAACCAUAACGGUCCUAAGGUAGCGAAAUUCCUUGUCAGGUAAGUUCUGACCCGCACGAAAGGUGUAACGAUUUGGGCGCUGUCUCGGCAGCAGACUCGGUGAAAUCUUAGUACCUGUGAAAAUGCAGGUUACCCGCAACUAGACGGAAAGACCCCAUGGAGCUUUACUGCAGCCUGAUAUUGAAUUCUGGUCAUACAUGUACAGGAUAGGUGGGAGACAAAGAGACGUGCACGCCAGUGUGCGAGGAGUCGACGUUGGGAUACCACUCUUGUGUGACCGGGGUUCUAACCUGGUAUCGAGAACAGGUACGGGGAGAGUGUCAGGUGGGCAGUUUGACUGGGGCGGUCGCCUCCCAAAGAGUAACGGAGGCGCCCAAAGGUGCGCUCAGAUUGGAUGGAAACCAAUCGUCGAGUGCAAUUGCAGAAGCGUGCUUGACUGUGAGACUUACAAGUCGAACAGGGACGAAAGUCGGGAAUAGUGAUCCGGCGGUGCCGAAUGGAAGGGCCGUCGCUCAACGGAUAAAAGCUACCCUGGGGAUAACAGGCUGAUCUCGCCCAAGAGUUCACAUCGACGGCGAGGUUUGGCACCUCGAUGUCGGCUCAUCGCAUCCUGGAGCUGGAUUCGGUUCCAAGGGUUGGGCUGUCCGCCCAUUAAAGCGGCACGCGAGCUGGGUUCAGAACGUCGUGAGACAGUUCGGUCCCUAUCUGUUGUGGGCGAAGGAGAUCUGCGGAGAGCUGUCCUCAGUACGAGAGGACCGGGAUGGACCUACCGCUGGUGCACCGGUUGUUCCGCCAGGGGCAUAGCCGGGUAGCUAAGUAGGGAAAGGAUAAGCGCUGAAAGCAUCUAAGCACGAAGCCUACUCCAAGAUGAGAUCUCCCAUUCGCAAGAAGUAAGACCCCUUAAAGACGAUAAGGUAGAUAGGCCAGAGAUGGAAGUGCAGUGAUGUACGGAGUUGACUGGUACUAAUCGGUCGAGGACUUAAUCG
rnacentral:rRNA from 1 species